rnacentral:snoRNA from 1 species
AGCCUCUUAGUGCUUAUCACAGGCUAUGUCCUUACACUGUUUAUAUAUAUAAAGAAGAGGGAAAUUAAAACUACCCCAUAUACACUUCAACUCAGGCUCUGUGCUUGGUCUAUAUUGUGAAUGGGAAGACAUGG